rnacentral:lncRNA from 1 species
CGGUAGUGGGCGCGCCGGAGAGCUUGGUCGGCAGGAAUUUCUUCCACUGUGCGCCUUUGGGGACGACACACAAGUCCCAACGCCCACCACCGGAGACCAAGAAAAUCAGAUUUCACUGGGCAGCGCGAUCCUAAAGAAUUCUGGAGCCAGGAAUGGUGGCGCACACCUAUGGUCUCGGCUACUCUGAAAGCUGAGGCAGGAGGAUCCCAAGUUCAAGGCCAGCCUGGGCAACUUAGUAAGACCU